rnacentral:rRNA from 1 species
CUUUCACAUNCCCGUCGAACGGCAGCACAGUAAGCAGCUUGCUCUUACAGGUGGCGAGUGGCGGACGGGUGAGGAAUACAUCGGAAUCUACUUUUUCGUGGGGGAUAACGUAGGGAAACUUACGCUAAUACCGCAUACGACCUACGGGUGAAAGCAGGGGAUCUUCGGACCUUGCGCGAUUGAAUGAGCCGAUGUCGGAUUAGCUAGUUGGCGGGGUAAAGGCCCACCAAGGCGACGAUCCGUAGCUGGUCUGAGAGGAUGAUCAGCCACACUGGAACUGAGACACGGUCCAGACUCCUACGGGAGGCAGCAGUGGGGAAUAUUGGACAAUGGGCGCAAGCCUGAUCCAGCCAUACCGCGUGGGUGAAGAAGGCCUUCGGGUUGUAAAGCCCUUUUGUUGGGAAAGAAAUCCAGCCGGCUAAUACCUGGUUGGGAUGACGGUACCCAAAGAAUAAGCACCGGCUAACUUCGUGCCAGCAGCCGCGGUAAUACGAAGGGUGCAAGCGUUACUCGGAAUUACUGGGCGUAAAGCGUGCGUAGGUGGUUGUUUAAGUCUGUUGUGAAAGCCCUGGGCUCAACCUGGGAACUGCAGUGGAAACUGGACAACUAGAGUGUGGUAGAGGGUAGCGGAAUUCCCGGUGUA